GACGAACCGUGCGAACGUUGUUCGGAAUCACUGGGCUUAAAGGGCGCGUAGGCGGGCCGGACGGUCCGGGGUGAAAUCCCCCCGCUCAACGGGGGAACGGCCUCGGAUACCGCCGGCCUCGAGGGGGGUAGGGGCGAGCGGAACGCUGGGUGGAGCGGUGAAAUGCGUUGAUAUCCAGCGGAACUCCGGUGGCGAAGGCGGCUCGCUGGACCUUCACUGACGCUGAGGCGCGAAAGCCAGGGGAGCGAACGGG
rnacentral:rRNA from 1 species